UACGAAGGGGGCUAGCGUUGCUCGGAAUCACUGGGCGUAAAGGGUGCGUAGGCGGGGCUUUAAGUCAGGGGUGAAAUCCUGGAGCUCAACUCCAGAACUGCCUUUGAUACUGAGGAUCUUGAGUUCGGGAGAGGUGAAUGGAACUGCGAGUGUAGAGGUGAAAUUCGUAGAUAUUCGCAAGAACACCAGUGGCGAAGGCGGCUCACUGGCCCGAUACUGACGCUGAGGCACGAAAGCGUGGGGAGCAAACAGG
rnacentral:rRNA from 1 species